UCCAUGAUCAUCACCGUAUCUCAUAUAUCACAUGCAUAAUAAUAAAUUUUGGAUAUUCUAAUUAACCGUUAACUGAUGAUUCGAAAAAAUAAAUUAUUAAAAAUAAUCAAUCUUAUUGAUUAUUAUAAUUUCGAUCAACAAUUUAAUCUACAAAAAUAAUAUCUUGAUCUCAUCAAGAAAUCAAUUUGAUCUAAUCAAAUUAGAUCUUUUUCAUUAUCUUUUAUUUUCAAUCUAAUCAACCUUUUAAAAAAAAAAAUUAAAAAUUAAAAAUUUUAAAAAAAAAAUUCCGUCCGUACGGAUGCUACAGUAGCAUCCGUACGGAAGCUACAGUAAAAUCACUACAGUAACUUUUUUUUUCCUUUUUUUUUUUUUGAAAAUAGAAACCAUCGAUUAUAUUGUUAAUCACUUUGAUCUUUUCGAAUUUUCCAAAAACGAUCUAUAAAUCGUUUUCUCGGCAAAAAACGGUUUAGAAUACCCAAAAAUCAUAAUUUUAAUCUUAAAAACAUGA
rnacentral:lncRNA from 1 species